AUGGCUAAAGCAAGAGUUGCACCUACCAAGGUCCACAGUAUCCCAAGGCUGGAGCUCUCUGCUGCAGUCACUUCAGCAAAACUAAGUACUGUGCUUAAGACUGAACUUGAAAUGAAAAUUGACAGAGAAUUUUUCUGGACUGACUCCCAAGUAGUGUUGGCAUACAUCAACAAUGAAGCACGAAGAUUUCAUGUGUUCGUAGCCAACCGUGUUCAAGUGAUAAGAGCCAACACAGACCCAAGUCAGUGGCAUUAUGUCGACACUACACAAAACCCAGCUGAUCACACCUCUAGAGGUCUUCAUGCAAAGGACAUCUCUUCAACUAACUGGCCUUUAGGGCCUAGGGUUUUGUGGGAAGAGGAGGUUCUCCCAGCGCCUAAUCCACCAACUGAGUUGCUUGUUGGCGAUCCAGAAGUUAAAUCAGUCCAAGCCUUUGCAACACAGGUGAGCGAGCAAAGAGAUGUUUUGAGUCGGUUUUCCACUUGGACAAGGCUCAUUAAGGUGGUUGCCAGAAUCAAGAGACUAGGGUGCAAGCUGGAACACCAAAGCGAACUUGUGACUGUUGAAGAACGUAAGGAGGCUGCCAAGGUGGUGAUUAAGCUUGUUCAGCUGGACACUUUCUCCCAAGAGCUAAGGCUACUGCGUAAGGGAAAUAGUCUUCCGAGAUCAAGUCCUCUUUUUCUCCUUGACCCUAUUCUAGAUGAUGGACUUAUUCGUGUUGGAGGCAGACUGAAAGUAUCAUCCCUUGAUCUAGAGCUUAAACACCCUGUCGUUCUCCCAAAAGACAGCCAUGUCACAAGGCUGAUCCUAUCUCAUUACCACAACCAGAUUUGUCACCAGGGCCGUAAUCAAACCUUGAUGGAAAUCAGAGCAAAUGGAUUUUGGGUCAUUGGUGGGAGCAAAUCAAUUGCCAAAUACAUACACAAAUGUGUACAGUGCCGAAAGCUUCGACAUUCAACCGAGGAGCAACGUAUGUCAGAACUUCCCAAAGAACGUGUAGAAGUCUUAGCACCCUUCACAUACUGUGGUAUGGAUUGCUUUGACCCAUUUAUCAUCAAGCAGGGCCGUAAAGAGUGCAAGAGGUAUGGUCUCAUCCUCACUUGCUUGUCUUCCCGAGCAGUCCAUAUAGAAAUGCUUGAAGACAUGACCACAGAUGCUCUCAUUAACGCUUCAUCAGUCUCAGAGGAGCGGUUUCUCAAUUACACUGUGACCAGGGCACAAACUUUGUGGGAGCCAAAAACGAGUUCAAAGAAGCACUCAAACAAUGUGACUUCAAGACCCUAG
rnacentral:lncRNA from 1 species